GAGGAUAUAGCUCAGUAGCACAGUACCUGCCUGAAAAGCAUGAUGUCCUGAGUUUGAUUCCCAGUACACACA
rnacentral:tRNA from 1 species